GAUGAACGCUGGCGGCGUGCCUAAUACAUGCAAGUCGAACGAACAGAUCAGGAGCUUGCUCCGCUGACGUUAGCGGCGGACGGGUGAGUAACACGUGGAUAACCUACCUAUAAGACUGGGAUAACUUCGGGAAACCGGAGCUAAUACCGGAGAAUAUAUUGAAGCGCGUGGGGCAAUAGUGAAAGACGGUGUUGCUGUCACGUAUAGAUGGAUCCGCGCCGUAUUAGCUAGUUGGUCAGGUAACGGCCUACCAAGGCGACGAUGCGUAGACGACCUGAUAGAGUGAUAGGCCACACUGGAACUGAGACACGGUCCAGACUACUAAGGGAGGCCGCAGUAGGGAAUCUUCCGCAAUGGGCGAAAGUCUGACGGAGCAACGCCGAGUGAGUGAUGAAGGUCCUCGGAUCGUAAAAAUCUGCUAUUAGUGAAGAACAACUGUGUACGUAAACAUGCACGUAGUGACGGUACCGAAUCAGAAAGCAACGGCUAACUACGUG
rnacentral:rRNA from 1 species